rnacentral:rRNA from 1 species
GACGAACGCUGGCGGCGUGCUUAACACAUGCAAGUCGAACGGAAAGGCCCUGCUUUUGUGGGGUGCUCGAGUGGCGAACGGGUGAGUAACACGUGAGUAACCUGCCCUUGACUUUGGGAUAACUUCAGGAAACUGGGGCUAAUACCGGAUAGGAGCUCCUGCUGCAUGGUGGGGGUUGGAAAGUUUCGGCGGUUGGGGAUGGACUGGCGGCUUAUCAGCUUGUUGGUGGGGUAGUGGCUUACCAAGGCUUUGACGGGUAGCCGGCCUGAGAGGGUGACCGGCCACAUUGGGACUGAGAUACGGCCCAGACUCGUACGGGAGGCAGCAGUGGGGAAUAUUGCACAAUGGGCGGAAGCGUGAUGCAGCAACGCCGCGUGCGGGAUGACGGCCUUCGGGUUGUAAACCGCUUUCGCCUGUGACGAAGCGUGAGUGACGGUAAUGGGUAAAGAAGCACCGGCUAACUACGUG